CCUACGGGUGGCAGCAGUGAGGAAUAUUGGUCAAUGGACGAGAGUCUGAACCAGCCAAGUAGCGUGAAGGAUGACUGCCCUAUGGGUUGUAAACUUCUUUAGGCGGGGAGCAAUGCCGGGCACGUGUGCCCGGAGGGAGAGUACCCGCAGAAUAAGCAUCGGCUAACUCCGUGCCAGCAGCCGCGGUAAUACGGAGGAUGCGAGCGUUAUCCGGGUUGAUUGGGUUUAAAGGGUGCGUAGGCGGAUUUUUAAGUCAGCGGUAAAAUGUCGGGGCUCAACCCGGGCCGGCCGUUGAAACUGGGGAUCUUGAGUGGGCGAGAAGUAUGAGGAAUGCGUGGUGUAGCGGUGAAAUGCAUAGAUAUCACGCAGAACUCCGAUUGCGAAGGCAGCAUACCGGCGCCCGACUGACGCUGAGGCACGAAAGCGUGGGGAUCGAACAGGAGUAGAUACCCUAGUAGUC
rnacentral:rRNA from 1 species